rnacentral:tRNA from 1 species
GGGCUCGUGGUCUAGGGGCAAUGACGUCCGCCUCACACGCGGAAGAUCGCCGGUUCAAUUCCGGCCGAGCCCA